AAGCGGGAGAAAGUGACAGGCGGAGAGCUGGGGAGGACCCAGCGGGUCAAGGGAGACUGCGGGGCUCCAGAGGCAGGAGAGGAUUGGGGAACACCAGGGGUUGAGGGUGCCACCCCAGCGGGAGGGCGGCGCCCAGGAGAUGAGUGCCGCCGAGAAAAGGGGUGCGGGUACAGGCAAGAUUGGGCGGUGCCCACAGUCCCCCCCAACCCCGCCUCACGCCUAGCAGCCCCCAGACCCCGCGAAGGGGCGGAGCCACUGCGCCCGCCACAGCCCGUUCGCGCGGGCACCCGCCCCCUCAGCCUUCGGGUCCCGGGAUGGUGGUGGGAGGGGCGGGCCUCGUGGGGCUGGGUGUGUAGCCCGGCCCAAGCCCCAACCAGGAAUGCUGCGCUGCAGGCUGGAGGAUGGGCGGAUGACCCUGCAGCCAGGGACGGGGGUUGGCGGGGGCGCUGGCUGAGGGCGGAGGAAAAGCCUCAGCACCGGCCCCAACUCCCGGGCCGAAUCCCGGGCGCCCCUCUGCUGGCAGGGAUUGUUGCCCCCGCUCUAGGCUUGCCUUCCCUCCUCUUACCCCCUUCCCCCGCGUUGCCCCGGGCAACAGCGCCUACCGCCGGCGGCGCGAAACGCACCUACCUAGAACCUGACAAGCCGGAGCCCCUCGGACUCCGGAGCCAGUCACCACCCCGCGUCACGGGGGCUGCCACAGCCAAUAGGAGCCACUGUCACGAACCUCUGCAACCAAUCCCGCUGCACUCCGGUCUCCGGGCACCCUCGAGGCCUCAGCCAAUGGGCAAGAGCGGAAGGCGGGCGCAGCCGCCCGGCCCUCAGUCCCCUCCUCCACUACCUCCCAGGAGGCGGGGAGCGGCCGAUUGGCCCGGGCCCCGAAGGGGUAGGACUUGGGCCCUAGGCUGGGUGGGCGCACGCUUAGCCCGGGCUGCGGGCCCUGGGAGUGGAGGCGUGGAGCUGCAGCCGCCGCCUUCUGGGCUCGCUCACCAGCCCGGGUGGAGUCCCGAAGUGUGCGCGUUUGUGCCGCUCUCCCCGCCUCGGUAA
rnacentral:lncRNA from 1 species